CCCUUAGAUGUUCUGGGCCGCACGCGUGCUACACUGAACGGUUCAAUGGGUAAGGUAGUGCGAAAGCAUGACCUAAUCUCGAAAUCCGUUCGUGCUGGGGAUAGAAGCUUGCAAUUAUCCUUCUUGAACGAGGAAUACCUUGUAAGCGUGAGUCAUCAUCUCACGCUGAAUACGUCCCUGCCCUUUGUACACACCGCCCGUCGCUCCUACCGAUUGAGUGUUCCGGUGAGGCUUUGGGAGAAUGGCCUCAACAUGAGUUUAUCGUGUUUUUCCGUUUGAACUUAGUCAAACCUUAUCACUUAGAGGAAGGAGAAGUCGUAACA
rnacentral:rRNA from 1 species